rnacentral:rRNA from 1 species
UACGUAGGGUCCGAGCGUUGUCCGGAAUUAUUGGGCGUAAGGGCUCGUAGGCGGUUUGUCACGUCGGGAGUGAAAACUCAGGGCUCAACCCUGAGCGUGCUUCCGAUACGGGCAGACUAGAGGUAUGCAGGGGAGAACGGAAUUCCUGGUGUAGCGGUGGAAUGCGUAGAUAUCGGGAGGAACACCAGUGGCGAAGGCGACUCUCUGGCCUGUAACUGACACUGAGGCGCGAAAGCGUGGGGAGCGAACAGG